GGGAAUAUUGCACAAUGGGCGAAAGCCUGAUGCAGCAACGCCGCGUGAAGGAAGACGGUUUUCGGAUUGUAAACUUCUAUCAAUAGGGAAGAAAGAAAUGACGGUACCUAAAUAAGAAGCCCCGGCUAACUACGUGCCAGCAGCCGCGGUAAUACGUAGGGGGCAAGCGUUAUCCGGAAUUACUGGGUGUAAAGGGAGCGCAGGCGGGAAGCCAAGUCAGCUGUGAAAACUACGGGCUUAACCUGUAGACUGCAGUUGAAACUGGUUUUCUUGAGUGAAGUAGAGGUUGGCGGAAUUCCGAGUGUAGCGGUGAAAUGCGUAGAUAUUCGGAGGAACACCGGUGGCGAAGGCGGCCAACUGGGCUUUAACUGACGCUGAGGCUCGAAAGUGUGGGGAGCAAACAGG
rnacentral:rRNA from 1 species